UACGGAGGGUGCAAACGUUGUUCGGAAUCACUGGGCGUAAAGCGCACGUAGGCGGAUGUGUCAGUCAGGGGUGAAAUCCCGGAGCUCAACUUCGGAACUGCCUUUGAUACAGCACGUCUUGAGUCCGAUAGAGGUGGGUGGAAUUCCUAGUGUAGAGGUGAAAUUCGUAGAUAUUAGGAAGAACACCGGUGGCGAAGGCGGCCCACUGGAUCGGUACUGACGCUGAGGUGCGAAAGCGUGGGGAGCAAACAGG
rnacentral:rRNA from 1 species